rnacentral:lncRNA from 1 species
UGGAACUAGACUGGAGGUGGGUAGAGUUGGAUAACCUUCUUCCACGAUGGUCUACUGCUUAUGUCAUCCCACCAACCACUCACAUGCUUCCUCUCUUUUAUCAGAUACCCUUUAUUCAUUUGGUUCACUAUAAAAUAUGUAAAUGGAAGAUGACUUAUAUCAGCAAGACUGAAGAAAUCCCCACCCAAAUACUUGCUCUUUGACAGCCUCUCCUCAUAAACAUCCAACACCUUCAACAGCUUUGCUUCACUCUCUUCAAUCACCUUUGGAUCUGGAGUCAUGCCAAAUAAUGGAGCAAACAACAGAUGCACAGCCAAGUCAUAAGCUGGUGGGUGAAAGUUAUGUGCUUCAACUUCUAGCCAUUGUUCCACAACACCCCUCUCUUCCGGUGUCCUCCCCAACAGCUCAACCCCCUGAGAUCUGUAUUUGUCUGCAUAAUACCUCAUUAUAGCACGAGAUUCUGCAGAAACAGAUCAAACACAGACAAGUUACAAGGUGGUAUAGCAGUAAGAUAAGAAAAAAUAACUGAAGAAACAAAAUAUGAACAAAAAAGCAAAAGUAUAUAGGAGUUGAAAGUGUAACCAUAUAAGGUGUAGUCUCCAUCUUGGAUGACAGGAACAACUCCAAAGGGCUGCAGAUAUGAUGAAUAAAGAAAAUGAAUGAGAAGAUAAAGAAAGACGUAAUCUUGAAGAGUGAUGAGGGUGGGCAAAAAAAGAAAAUUGAACCUGUAACUUGAGAAACUCGGGAUCCUUGUGCUCUCCCUUAGUGAGAUCGACUGGGACAACCUCAAAUUCGACGUCCUUCUCAAGGAGACAUACUAGCACCCGUUUAGUGGAAGCACAGUGAGGACCGUACACCUUCACUACCAUGUUUUGAUUCUCUUCAGAAACCCUUCAACAAGACUGAAGCAGUGAUAGAGCCAAACACAAUUUCUACUUCCUGGUAACACUUCUUAUAGUGCCCCUACGCGUGAAAUCAAGCGCAUGUUUUCACACUGUAGUUGUAAAUGGAUUUGGAAUGGGUAGGAUAGAAUCAAACUCUUUUACUUAAUAUAAUAAAAGAUUUGUGUGGAAUUAGAUAGAAGUUUCGAGUGGUUGGUCCUUUGGGAAAAGAGGAAAAAGAAGAUGUGAAUAUAAAUAUUACAACUACCAAACAUGAUGGGCAAUGAUUUAGAAAGUAAAGAUGAGGGGGUGGAUAUUAUUGUGGUCGACAAAUAAUCAAUGUGCUACCUUUAAUUGUACAGAAUUCGGAUUACUGUGUAUAAAAGUAUAACAUUUAUAUUGAUGUCUAUUAAAGUUAAAUUUAUAGUAUUAUUUUUUUAUUGAAAGUUAAGAAAGAGAUAAAUAUUUUAGAACGUGUUUCCCACCAAAAAAAUAAAUAAAUAUGAAGUAGAAAUUAAAGAUGUUUAAUUAAAAGUUGAGGUAUUAUUUAUAAAUAAACAAUGAAAUAAAAAAUUAAAUAGUUUAAUAAUUAUUGACAUAUUUUAUUUUUAUUGCAAUACAAACAUUUUAAUUAUGUUAAUUUCAUUUGAGUUCUAUUAAUAUUUAACACAAUUAAACAAGUAUUUCGUCUUUAAUAAGUUGUCACGUGUGUUUGUGUUUAUUGGAGAAGAAAAAUAAUAACUUUAACCUGUAAUUAACUUUAACCUAUAUUUUCUAUUUUAUACAUUAAAAAUUCUUUGUGAUUCUUUUAAAAUUUUUGAAUAAACAUACGUGAUAGUUACAAAUACAAAAGUAUUUAAUUGUAUUAAAUAAUAGAAUCCAACAAAAUGUAAGUUUUUUUUAUUAAAAUAAAAAACUUAUUGUAUUGAAAUAACUAUUUAUCCAAAUAAAAAUAAUAUUGUCUUUUGAAAUAAGUGACUCCCAACCAAAAAAUCCAACUUGUUUUAUUUAUUAAGAAUUAUUGUUUUCUCAUGAUUCAAGUAAAGCAUUAGUUAAAAUUUAGAAAAUAUUUCUUAAAAUGGUCUAGCAAUAAAAUUGAAUAAAAAAAAAGUGUCAUUUUCGCUUCUUAAGAACAUAAGAUGGCAAAUAAUUGGAAGUUCUAACAAUUAUAUCCCAUAUUUCAUAAUUCAAGUAAAGCCUUAGUAAAAAUUUGGAAAAUAUUAAAAAUGUCUAAGAUUGAAAAUAAAAUAAAUAAAUAAAAAAGUGCUCUUUUCGCUUCCUUGGAAAGUUGUAAGAAUUAUAUCCUCAUAUUUUUUCCUUUUUUCUUCUAAGGACCAACUCAUCAACACCUACUUAUUAUUAUUAUUGUUAUCUAGUCAAAAUAACCAUCAAUUAUGAUAAAAGUACUCAUAACACUAAGACCUACUAAACCUCGCGACUGGUCGAAUUGAUAUUUUCAAUUAAUUAACCUAUUUUUAAAUUAAAUAUUUAAAUAAAAAUAUUUUAAUAGAUUAAUUUUCUAUAUUAUAUUAUUCGAAAGAUGUAGAUAUGAAAUAGUAUUGUAACUUAAAUCAAUAAUAAUUGCAAAUUAAGUUUCAGUUAAUUAUAAAAAUAAUUUAAUACAUAAAUGCAAUGGUUAAACUAUAAGAAAAGUUGUUUUUGGAAACUAAAUUUUUGAGUUUCUAAAAUGAUAAAAUUAGUCAAUAACUUAAUUAGAAACUAAUUUAAAAUCUAAUUGUAGUAAGUGGCUAAAAUCAUCUUCGUUAAUUUUAUAUACCAAUUUAGAUUCUAAUUUAGAAACCAAUUUAGUUAUCAAUAAAAACCAACUUAGUGACCAAAUAUAUAGAAACUAAUUUAGUAAUCAAUUAUAUAGAAAUCAAAUUAACAACCAAUUUUAUUGAAACCAAUUUAGUGACCAAAAUAUAUAGAAACUCAUUUAGUGACCAAAUAUAUAAAUAUAAAAAAAUGGUCACUAUAAUGGUCUCCAAAUAAUAUAAUUUUUUGUAAAAAAAAAAAAUUUAUCAAAUGGAAAAAUCAAUUCAUUUGAAAUAUUUUAAGAUAUUCUCUUGUGUCUAAAACUAGUUUCAAUAUAAGUAUGCACAUGAAGGAAAUUAAAUCAUUAGAAGGAACAAUCCAAUUUAGCUUAAUCUUUCUUUGUCGAGCCUUAUUUAAAUUAUUUUUCAUUAUUAUAGCAUCUCGCAUUUCAAAAUUAUUUCUUGCCCACUUAUGAUCUGGUGCACAAAUCGAAAACUUCUUCUGCAUUAAUAAAAAAACAAAGUUAAUUAUAUGUAAAACUAACAUACAUAAUAAAAUUGAACUAAAUAAUUAAAUAAAGUUAGUUAUAUGAAAUCAACCAAAAACUCUCCGAACUACAAGUCUCUUGUUCUAAACACCAAAUAAGAUGCAUCUUUUAAAAAAGCAAACAAAAACCAAAUAGUUUUUUAUGACUAGUCGCUCGGAAGAGAAAAAUUAAUCAAGAAAUAUUGACCUUAUAAUUAUGGAUUGAUUCACUUCAUCUGCAAACAAAGCAAUAGACAGAUUAAAAAGUUAUAGUACAAAACGAAUGGAAACAGCUUAACCUUUUAAAACUUAAUUUCUAUAAAAAAUAAGGAAAAAGUUGUCUCGUAUCAUUUCUCGAAUGGCUGUCAGUAAUUGCAUAUAAAUGAGGGCUUUCACUUGCCUUACACUUGUAGGCUUCAAUAUAGUCAUUUUAUCAUACUAGAGAGUUUACUAUCAUUCGUGGGACUCCAUUAAACUUGACUUUCGACUCGUAAACUCGUAAGAGUCUACUUCAUAAAAAAAAUUUAACAAAAAAAUAAUUCAUGAAAACAAAUCCAUAAUAUUGAAAUAAACAAGUUCAUACACUAAUAAAAUAACUAAAACAACACAAAUGUUAUAAUUUAAAAGUCUCAUUCUUCUAAUUCUUCAAGAAAAUCAUCUAACUCUAAAACAAACAAUCAAUUAGUCAUUCUGCUUUAAAAUUAAACAAAAAUCCAAUAUGUCCAAAGCAGUAAAAGAACUUCAGGAUGUCCAAAAAUCUGCCCCAACCCAAUGAACAAAAACGCCCCAACCCAUUUUUAAAAGUUCAAACCUAAUUUUGAAAACCCUAACCCAAUCCGUCCUCACCGCAGCAGCAGGACUUACCCAUCAAAGUGUUUCGCGAACGGCGUAGUGUGACGAGGAUCAUUGUGAAACGAGGUGUGACAACCAGCGGCGCGAUGCGACGAGCGGUGCGGUACGAGGAGCAGUGUGGGGUUGUGCGAGGCGAGGAGCGACGCGGUACGAGGCAAGGAGCGGCGCGGUACGAGGCGAGGAGCGGUGCGGUGUGAUGAGCGGUAAAACCCUAAAAAAUCUAACCUAAUCACAAGGAAACACAUCGUUUUGAGUCCAUUUUACGCAACUCGAUAACUCGACCUUAAACUCACGAGUUUAGCCGAGUUUGACCGAGUCAACUUCGGAUUCGGGUUUACUCAAAAACGAGUUUACUCCCGAGUUGACUCGCCAACCUUCACCUGACUCUUAAACUCAAACUCGUAAGGGUUUACGAGUUAACCUUAGAGUUUGAUAAUUUGAUUAUUACCAUACAAAGUAACUUUCUUAAAAGGGAUUUAUGGCAACCAAAACAGGCCCAGCUUUCAUCUGAAUUAAAUAGUUAUGCACUUAAAGAGGUUAUGAUUAGGAAAAUAAAUCAAGAUAGAAAAUUAAGAGAUAUAAGCUUACAUAGAUCAUAUCUUGGUUGUAUCUAUAUUGCAGGUUGAAUAAAACUGCUGAUUCAUUUAAAUAACUAAAUAGAAGGUACCAUGAUAAACUGAUUUCAAAACACAGCAGCAGAGAAAAAUUGAAAUCCAAGGCCAAAAUUAUCUUUUUUGAACCAUAAGAAUUUGUAUCAUUCCACCUGUUUUCCCUAGAGGAUGUCAAAAUUGAUGGCAGGGGCAACGUAACGGAUACCAAGUCUUCAUCUGCAUUAGAUGGUCGGUCUUUUAAUGAUCAACCAAUUUAUUUUAAAUUCUAAGUGUACUUUCUUUUUGGUUUGAGGUUUAAACUAAAAAAAUAAAAACUUUGAAAUGUACUGAUGAAAAAUGCCACAAUAUUUACAAUACAAUAAUAUGAAACUAAUCUAAUCAUUUUAAUAUUAUCACUAAUUUAUAAAAGUAAAAAUUUAUGUUGGACUCCCACAACUUUUGUAACAUGGAUCAAGCAUCAUGAACCAGGUGCACACGAAAUAACUCAGUUCUAGAAGGAUUAUAAAGCCCUUAACCAAGAGAGGCUAGAAAGAUUAAAAAGAUACACCUCAUUGAGGAAAGAAGUGUUCACAACAAAGAGGAAAAAAAAGCAAUUUGUCAAAUACUUUAACAACCCAAGAUUAAUUUUCAGAGUAAACAAAAUUUUGGUUUAACUACAAUAUUAGUGUCAUUAACAAAGUGCACAAGAAAUUACAUACCUCACUGAGUACUAACACUACAAAGAGAAGAAAGCACAGUAAAUAAAAUUAUAAAGUUAGCCCUUCCACUCUACAGGUUCCAUGCAUUUGGUUUUGCAGAGGCAAGCAGAGGUAUUGAUCCCAAUCCCACAUAUUUGGAUUCUAGUUUCUACUAAUUAAAGCAUGCCUUGUCUGACAAAAAGUCUUUCCAAAGUUCCAAAAGCAUUUGUCUCAAUAAAGGGAAAACAACUAAACUAGUUGUAGGUGCGUACUAAACCUUUUGAUGCUCCAAAUACCAUUAUAUUAUACUACACAAAUCACAAUAUCUCCAAGUUCUAAAUAAAUAAAUAAAAACCACAUUAACAAUACCAUUGAAAUGUAAUCAGAUACACAAAAAUCUACACAAUUAGGUAGUUAGCACGAUGUCAAAGUUUCAAUAAACUUUGAAUUUUUGUUUGAGCUUGCAAGCCUAAGGCCUAACUAAACCAACAACACUGACCAUAUACCGUGCAUAAAGAUAUUCACAAGUUAAUGAAACUUGAUCAAACUAGACAAAUAAAACGAAGACCUCAAAUUAAUAUCCCCAUAUUAAUUAUGCAGUUGCUUAUUAUUUUACUAGAAUUACCUUCAAAACUAACAGCCACACAACUUACAACAGAGUACCUUUUAUGUGUAAUAAUCUAGGAUUUUAAGAUGGGAAGAUACAUUGAGUAAAGUUGUGAAGUUUCGAUGAGCAAACACAAAAAUAAAAGACAAAGAGCGAGAAUGAAACACGAAUUGAAACUUACUAUGAUAAGCUUAAAGAGGUUAGUCUCAUUCGAAACAGAGAAACGUCAUUGUUGCGGGUGCGUUACCGUCUCAAGGUGCGUUGUCGUUGUAGGGUGUGGUUUCCGGUUGUUGAGUGCUAAGAGUGAGAGAUGAGAAAAAAAGUUAAAGAAAACAGAUAAACUUUGAAAUUCAAAACCUUACAUACCAAUUGGUUAAAUUUAAAAAAAUUAAAUAAUUUUUUGAAAAAUAUGCAUCUUUAUUUAAAUUUAUUUAUUAAAAUUUUAAUUUAAAUAAUAUUUUGAAUUAAUCAUUAAUUUAAUUUUAUAUUUAAAUAAAAUUAAAAGAUUAAAAUACUAUUUUAAAUGUAAUUUUUAAAUUUAUAUUAAUUAUUUUAAUAUUAUACUAAAAUUAUUAAAUUAUUAAAUUUAUUCAUAUCAAUUUAAAAUAUUUUAUAAAUUAAUAAUUAAUUUUAUAAAAUUUAAUUACUUCAAAAUUAAUAUUUAAAUUCAAAUAAUAGUGACUAGAAAUUUAAGUAUCUCAUUAUAAUUAUAUAAUGAUUAGAAACUACAAAAUUAGUUUUAAAUUUUAUUAUUUUUAGUGACUAAAAUUAGUUUUUAAAAUAGAUUAAAAUUAAUUAAAAUAGUUUCCAAUUAUAUCUUAACAAGAUUCUCUCUCUCUCUAUCUCUCUAUCUCUAUCUCUCUCUCUCUAAUAAAUUGAAACAUAGAUGAAUAGAAUCUUACACGGACUACUUCUUAUGCGGGACAGGAUGGUCAAAUGAACUUGCAUUUCUUAUAUAGGUUGGACCAACCUGACCUGCGUUUUGCGAGUCAAACAUGGGAGGGACCAACCGACAUUGCCACCUAAUUUGACAUGAAAUAUUUGUUUUGCCCUUAAUGAUUUAAAAGACUUUGUCUUCUGGAUUUUCAUAUACGUAAGUUAAAUUACAAAGUUCUGGAUAUGCAAGUUCGAAACUAAUAUGUCACUUUCGGAUUUAGUCAUCCAGAAGCUUACCUGACCAACAUAAAUGACCUUCUGGAUGCCAUGAUCCAUAAGCAAACAUAAAUGAACUCGAGAUUCUAAUAUUUAACAUCAUUUAUAGCACACCAUUUCGAACAUAAAAAUCUGAAACUCAUAACUCACUUCCGGAUAUGAUCAUCCAAAAACUUAAAUGAAAUAUAAAAAUGAUCUUCUGAAUAUCGAAGUCCGGAGUAUAUAACAACCACAUUCAAAUUUUUGCAUCUAUAACUAAAUAUGAAGCCUUCCGAAUAUCACGAUUCGGUAACAACUUAACCCCAUUAUCAACUAAAACACAAAACGUAAAUAAUUUUCCUUACCUCAUAAAAGAUUUACACCACACCACGCUUAAAAGUAAUGACUUCAUUCCACCACCACACCAACCCAAUUCACCACCACUCAAAACGGUUCAGCAUUUAAAUCACAAAGCUUCACUUUUUUCUGUGAUGAACUAUGAUGGGAGCAACAGCAUUAAAACUGCAGAAGCAAUGCAUAGCUAUUUAAAGUCUGAAACCCCUACUUUCCAAUUUAUUUCAGUUCUUACUCUUUUAAAAUUUCUCUAAUCAAAUUUCAAAUAGUGCUUUUACCAUGCUCUUUGAAAUAUACAAAUAGUUUAUACAAUUAUACUAUUCAUUCCACUGGCUGCCUCAGAAAAGAAAUUGCACUGCUACAUAAAUAAUUACUUUAUGCCACUCAUUCCUAAAGCUAACUAUGACAGACAAAAUAUGCAAAAAGGAGUUACUUUCAUCUAUCAAAGUUGUGUGCUAUUAUUUUAUUUGACUAUUGAAAAUCUCACCUGUGAUGGUCUCUUUCUCACCCUCUAAUCUAUCAAAAAUCCAUUUAAUGGAGCCUAAUUUAGAAGAUUAAGUGCUUAUGUAGCCUAUUAAAUGCCUCUUAAGCAUCCACACGGCAAAGCUACCUAAGCAGUAAAGCACAUUAGCAGAAAGGCUACUUUAGUGACGUACAGAUUUUUGAAGGACUUGGGUAAUGAUAGUAAGUAUUUUUAGGAUUGAAGCAAAGUCAAAUUAAUAUUUUUUAGGUACCAAAGUGAUAACAUGUGGGUUUUGGCUUGAAUGUUUAUGGGCAAAAGUGAUUCAUUGUGGUACAUGGUGAUGAAAGUGAUGGCUAUGGCUUGGACCCGACCCGCUCUAGUCAAGUUCCAUUUUUUUUCAGUCAAGUCCGUUAGUAGAACCAGUGUAAAGCACUAUGUUCAAUUUAUUGGAACCCAUCAAAUAUAAAUUCUUGUGUGAUUGCCAUGCUCAGAGACCUUCAAACAACAUUACAGAAGAAACAAGAAAAACUAGCAAGCCUAGACAAAAGGAUUGAGGUUAAAAUUAAUGCAAGCAAUCAAAUACCUUCGUUCACAUCUCCGUUCGCCUUUGCUCGCACCUUCGUUCUCCUUCGCUCGCACCUCCGUUCGCCUCCGCUCACACCUCUGUUCGCCUUUGUUCGUACUUCCGUUCGCACCACGACCACCACCCACAACUUCCUCCUCCUCCUCCGACCACCGCCUGCAGCUUCCUCUGCACCUUUGUUCACACCACGUCCAUUUUUGGGUAUUUGGUGUCCUAAAAGCACCUACAACUUCCAAAUAACUCUGAAGCUUACAAAAAAUCAAAUUCCAAGUUUUAUCUAAUUGUCACAUUCUUUUUUUACUGAAGUCACCUCUUUAUAAAUAAUAUUAAAAAAUAUAGUAUUUAUGUAAAAUUAAGAAAUAAAUAUUAAAGGAGUAUUUAAAUAUCAAUGAUAAUAAAUAUAAAUAUUUUAAUUAAUUAAUAAUUUUCAUACUAAUACAUUUUAUAAUUUCUAACUAGCAGAUACUUACCUCUAUUAAUAAUUUUUAAUUGAAAAAAAUAGAAACAAGUAAUAAAACUGUUAUAAUAAAAAAAUUAAUAAUUAAAAAAUUAUUUACAAUUUAAUUCUGAAAAUUUAUUUAUUUUUAUAAAAUUAAAGUUGUUUUAAAAAGAUCAUUUUAUUUAAAUUUAAUUAUUUAGCAUAAUUUAUUUUUUUUAAAGGAUUAAUUUUAUUAACAAUAAUUAUUUUUUUUAUGUAAUUUUAUUUAAAAAAAUUAUUUGAGGUGAUAUUUUAAAAAAAUAUUUAAUAAAUUUUAUCUAAAUUUAAUAAAUUACAAAUAUAUUUGACACAUAUUUUUUAAAUAAAAAAAAUCAGUAAUACAAUUAAUUAUUUUUUAAAUGGAUGAGUACUCAUUAAUAUUCAAAGUGCUUGUAUAGUUUUUUAAAAUAAAAAUAAAUUAUUAUUAUCAUUAAUAGUAGUUGUAAAAUAAACAAGAUUUAGCGACUAAAAAAUUUCGAUGGCUAAAAAAUAAACGUGUUUAGUGGCUGAUUCAGUGAUAAAAAUAAAUAAUUAUAUCUAGUGACCGAAACAAAAUCGGUAGCUAAAACAUAAACAAAUUUGAUGGCUGGUUCGGUAGUAAAAAUAAACAUUUAUAUUCAGCGACCAAAAGAAAAUCGGUAGCUAAAAAGUAAAUAUAUUCAGUGCCUAAUUUGGUGGCAGAAAAAAAAUAAUAAAAUUUAGUGACCAAAAUAAAAUUGGUGGCUAAAAAAUAAACAUAUUCGGUCGCUAAUUCGGUUGCAAAUAUAUUUUUUCCAAUUUAUUCGAAACAAUCACCACUUUAACGACCAACGGUUUUGUCACUUUCAUGUUCGGUCACGGAUUCAUUCGCAAAACUAACUAACAUGAUUUUUCAUGUUCGGUCGCGAAUUCAUUCGCAAAACUAACUAACAUUAUUUUUUAUGUUCGGUCGCGAAUUCAUUCGCAAAACUAAACUAACUAGCAUGAUUAAUAAUUCAGUUAGUCGCCAUUUCGAAUUCGUUCGCAAAACUAACUAACAUGAUUAAUCAGUCGCUAUUUCGAUCACAAAUUUGUAAGUUAUUUCGAUCGCAAAUUCGACACUAUAUUGUUCGCUAAAUUCAGUAACUACAGUAUAAAAAAAACACUCUUCUCCAAAAAAUAAUUCAAAACAAAGAAGAUAGGACAAUGUCAAGAAUUCUCCAAAAAAUAAUUCAACACAAAGAAGAUAGGACAAUGUCAAGAAGAUAGGACAAUGUUGGACAAUAUCUUAAAUGAUAUGAUGAAGGGAGAAACACCCCUAAUUUUUUAGUAUCAGAUUUAGCGUUUUACUAUUGUUAUUAAGUUUUAUGCAAAAAAAAAUUUAAUCAAAAUAACAUAACUAAAUCUUUCAUAAAUAUUUUACCAUUUAAAAAAAAAAACAAUUUUUUGAAACUGAUGAAGUCAUACAUACUAAAUACAAUUUUAAUACAAUCUGAUAGUACAAAUAUAAUUCUGAAGUUGUAAUGAUUUCAAUACGAUAUAAUAUCACUAUCACUGAAGUUAUAAUGUCAAAAUACAAAUUCAAUUAUAGAAAUCUUUUUAAAAAAAUUGUUUUUAUAUUAUACGAAUUUAAUUAUUUCCUAAUUAAAAUCACAUUUUACAACUAUAAUUUCUUUAGAAAUUAUUAUCUACAUAAAACUCGUAUUUGACACAUACGAGGAUUUAUCCAAUUUUAAAACAAGAAACUAAUCUGUCCAUUUAGAAAAAUUUGGACUAAAAUUACACUAAUUUUUGGAGAAAGAAACCGACUAAGUAUUAUAAAUAAAACUGCCACAUAAAAACAUGACUUAUAGCAUUUUAGGACACCAAUUUAAAGUCUCCAACUGAACAUUAAGUUUCAAACUAUUACACUUUUAUUUAAGUUUAGAAAACAUUUGUUGUCUAAAGACUUUUGGGUUUAUAUUGCAACAUCACUCAUAAUUGGAUAAAAGUACAUUUAUUCUUGAGAAGCAGAAGCAGGUGCAGUGCAGAGAUGGAUGAUACUAAAUGCAUCAUCCAUGAACUUCAUUCUGGAACUAAACUGGAGGUGGGUAGAGUUCAAUAACCUUCUUCCAUGAUGGUCUACUGCUUAUGUCAUCCCACCAACCACUCACAUGCUUCCUCUCUUUUAUCAGAUACCCUUUAUUCAUUUGGUUCACUAUAAAAUAUGUAAAUGGAAGAUGACUUAUAUCAGCAAGACUGAAGAAAUCCCCACCCAAAUACUUGCUCUUUGACAGCCUCUCCUCAUAAACAUCCAACACCUUCAACAGCUUUGCUUCACUCUCCUCAAUCACCUUUGGAUCUGGAGUCAUGCCAAAUAUUGGAGCAAACAACAGAUGCACAGCCAAGUCAUAGGCUGGUGGGUGAAAGUUAUGUGCUUCAACUUCUAGCCAUUGUUCCACAACACCCCUCUCUUCUGCUGUCCUCCCCACCAGCUCAACCCCCUGAGAUCUGUAUUUGUCUGCAUAAAACCUCAUUAUAGCACGAGAU